rnacentral:rRNA from 1 species
GCCCCUUCGGGGGUACUCGAGCGGCGAACGGGUGAGUAACACGUGAGCAACCUGCCCCUGACUUCGGGAUAAGCCCGGGAAACUGGGUCUAAUACCGGAUAUGACCAUUGCCCGCAUGGGUUGGUGGUGGAAAGUUUUUCGGUUGGGGAUGGGCUCGCGGCCUAUCAGCUUGUUGGUGGGGUGAUGGCCUACCAAGGCGACGACGGGUAACCGGCCUGAGAGGGCGACCGGUCACACUGGGACUGAGACACGGCCCAGACUCCUACGGGAGGCAGCAGUGGGGAAUAUUGCGCAAUGGGCGGAAGCCUGACGCAGCGACGCCGCGUGGGGGAUGACGGCCUUCGGGUUGUAAACCUCUUUCAGCAUCGACGAAGCCUUCGGGUGACGGUAGGUGCAGAAGAAGCGCCGGCUAACUACGUGCCAGC